UACGUAGGGGGCAAGCGUUGUCCGGAUUUACUGGGCGUAAAGAGCGUGUAGGCGGCCACGCAGGUCCGUUGUGAAAACUGGAGGCUCAACCUCCAGACGUCGACGGAAACCGUGUGGCUAGAGUCCGGAAGAGGAGAGUGGAAUUCCUGGUGUAGCGGUGAAAUGCGCAGAUAUCAGGAAGAACACCAAUGGCGAAGGCAGCUCUCUGGGACGGUACUGACGCUGAGACGCGAAAGCGUGGGGAGCGAACAGG
rnacentral:rRNA from 1 species